rnacentral:rRNA from 1 species
GACAGAGGGUGCAAACGUUGUUCGGAAUUACUGGGCGUAAAGCGCGUGUAGGCUGCGGAGUAAGUCGGAUGUGAAAUCCCUUGGCUUAACCAAGGAAGUGCAUCCGAUACUGUUUCGCUUGAGUGUCGGAGGGGAUGGCGGAAUUCCCGGUGUAGAGGUGAAAUUCGUAGAUAUCGGGAGGAACACCUGUGGCGAAGGCGGCCAUCUGGACGACAACUGACGCUGAGACGCGAAAGCGUGGGUAGCAAACAGG